rnacentral:lncRNA from 1 species
UUUACUUUGAUAUGUUUAUAUUAUAGAUAUAAUACAUAAAACAUCUAGCAUGAAACUCUGCGUUCUCCCCAAAGAAGAGAACCAAGCUGUCCUUCCCUGCUCCCAGCCCCGCCGAUCUGUGCGUGCUGGCUGGAGGCCGCCUCCCUCCAGACCAGGAGCCAGGGCCUCUGGUGGGGGCAAGCCUGUGGGCAGCCCAGGCCAGAGGGGAGCGAGGCCCAUAGCCCCACACCCCCUUCAUCACCCCCCCCCCCGGGAAAGAGGAAGCCCACCUCACCUCUUUGGUUCCCUUGGGAGCAAAAGCAAUCCCAAAAACCAAAAGGAAAGAGAGCCGCAGACCCUCCCUGCAGCUGCUGACAAAGAGUCUCAUUUUGGCAAGUAUCUGAGCAAAACCAAAACAAAACAAAAACCAAAUAAAAUGGUGGUUUAGCAUAGACGUGCACAUUCACAUUGCUCAAGGCACCGCUGGGACACAGAGAGGCCAGAUACAAGUGUUGAUAUCGGCUGAUAAAGCAAAAUAUUUGGAAAGCUUCUCAUAACUUCGGUCCCUCUGGGAUGGACAGAUUGUGCUUCAUGUUUGUAUGCAAUGCUGGCAACAUACAGUACAAGGCUGAUGGUCCCAGUGUCCCUUCACCCCACCCCCACCCCCGACCAGAUCUCUGGGUUUCCCUCUUCCACCAGGCCACCACUCCCAUGAACACAUGUCCUUACAGCUCACCCAUGACCUAGCUUUCUGAUCUGACUGGGGGCAGGGGGCUCCCACUGGUCACCUGGUGACCCCCCAUCUCAGUGGGUUCUGCCCAGGGAAGCCCAGCCUGUCACAGGCUGGGAGAUUAGAGGCAAGGAACUAGGGACCCUCCACCUUCAUGUAGGACUAGGGGAACAACGUUCCAAGUCCCUGUAUCUCCUCCCCUCCGAGGACAGGCAUUGAGGAGCGGCUAGGGCUGGCUUGUUGGGAUCCCUGCUCCCUGAACCUUUCUCCUGCCAUAGGCCGCACAUUGCCUUCUCUCAUGGAGGCCUGCAGCCUCAGGAAUGAGGCAGGAACCCUCCAAAUAAAAUGACAAGGCACGUAUUUGCUCCACCUACUCGGUAGGAAUCGGAGCGGUGAGUUUGCGUUUCCAAGGCACAAGGUUAUUCCUUAAUACUGGAGCUGCCGGGCUUCCGGCUGAGCCCCAUGGCACUUCUCCUCUCCGGCAGGGAGAAACCACUGCCUGACCCCUCAUCUUAGACGCACCGAAUCUG